rnacentral:tRNA from 1 species
GGUUUCGUGGUGUGGUGGUUAUCACUCCUGAUUUAAACGCAGGAGGUCGCCGGUCCGAUCGCGGCCGAGAUCA